CGUUAUCUGAUGAGCAAUAACUUUCGCCCCUAGCUGAAAAAUGAUACUUCUCAUGUUGAAUGCGAGAUUGGUCUUACUGAAAAUAACGG
rfam:Drosophila melanogaster chromosome 2R.